UAUUAAGAACUGGAUUACUGCCCAAUUCCUUAAGUUCAACUUGUCCAAAACAGAACUUCUGGUCUUUGCUCCCUCAAAUGUUCCUACUCCUAUUUUCUUCCUCCCUUUACAUUAACAGCGUUACCAUCAGCUCCACCAUGCAGGCUUACUGCCUAGGUGUUCUCAUUGACCUCUCCUUCACCCCUCAUGUUCAGUCAAUUGUAAAAUCCAUCCAAACCAUUGUCCAAAUCCACCUCUACUUUACGCCAGAUGCAGCUAAGGUGCUGGUCCAUGCCACUGUCCUCUCUCGCCUUGACUACUGCAAUCCACUUCUCAGUGGUCUUACGUGAUUCCAACUUGCUGCAGUGCAAUCUACAAUGAGUGUGGCGCCGAAGCUCAUCUUCCUGUCUGACCGCACAUCCCACACCUCACCCCUGUGUCAGUCCCUGCAUUUGCUUCCCAUAAUACAUGACUCAAUUUCAAAUUCUGGUUCUUGCUUUCAAGUCCCUACAUAAUGUUACUCUUACCUAUCCAUCCUCCCUAAUACACAAGUAUGUCCUGUCUAGGCCCCUACGCUCCGCUGAAGACCUAAGUCUAUCCUCUGUUCGUACUCCGACCCCUGAUGCUCACCUUCAAGACUUCGAGGGCUGCACCGUUCCUGUGUUCCUGUGUCCCAGUCUCCACUCCACAGAAACCCAUCAAAAGCUCACUUUUUCACAAAAAAUGCAUGUUUAUAGACCGAUACAAAGAUAAAGAAUGUAAAAAUAAAAAGCCUGAGGAAAAAUAGGCAAUCUGAAAGAAAAAUCUUUAUUUCCUUUGCACUGACAGCAGAGCUAUUUUAGCCAAAAUGUUUCCAUUCAGAUUUGCUACAGUUUGGAGAUUAGUAAAUAAGCCCCAUUUUAUUUGAUUUAUUUCUUGUAUUAUCUUUCUGGAUAACUCUCACCAGGAAGCAAUGCUUGCACAAGUCUCACAUUUGUGUGAAGUCAUAAAACUGCUCAGUGGUGCUGACCAUUUCUUAAAAAGUUGUCAGUCUGAGUGUAGUGAGGCGAAUGUGCCCGGUUUAAACUUUUAGCUGAUAGAAUAAUACAAACUCAUUAGCAUGUUGCUCAAUAGCUGGACAUAGAACAAGAGUUCGUUCUUUUCAUCUCCUACCAAGGGAAUCACUGUAAGAAUGCGUUCAGGAUGCCAGUUGAUUACCAUACCGUUAAAUAUCUGUGUUCGUUUUAUUGUGUUGGGGCAUUUUACAGCCUUUUCCUUCUAUACCUUGUAUGUAUUAAACACCAAGCAAAUUCUUUAAACAACUAUGCACUGCAGUAACCAGUCCUUCCCUUUGAUUUCUGGGCUUCAGACCAGCACGUUUUGUAGUAACAAGCUUUGGCAAGGAUUGAGACAGAUUUUUUAAACGCGUCUAAAUAGUGCGGCCUCAUAUAUUUUUUUUCUUACUAACUUUUUUUUUACUGAUUGAAACAUUGACAGUUUUAUUUAAAACUCUUGGGGUUUAUAUACACUUGCCAAGUGCCCCUGCAGGGAAAUAUUUUUUUUUU